UUCCCAGGUCUAUAAUCACGAGUAACGCAUAUCUCGUAUUGUGUACAUUGUACCGGUUCGUUUGAUAUCUUCAUUUUUCAGAGGGAUUUUCACGAUCGACACGAACCGACGACGGGAGAUCUCGAGGGGUAUACACUGUACACACAUAUUCAUUUCAGAUAACGUUAAAAACAACGAUACGCGAAAAAUCCACUCGAAUUGUUAGAGUCUUAUCUACACACAGCACAACAACAAUAAUACGUAUAUAUCAAAAUUCAGAUCCGGAUUAGAGUUAGUAUGUGCAAUGUGUGUACAAACAAUAUAUAGGGUAACAAUAACGUACGUUCCAAAACUCACAUGGCUGUAGACAUAUUUGGCACGUUGAGAAUAAAACAAUUAACAGGACAUGAUGUAAACGAACUCACGCAAAUAUAACGGUGCACAAAAUAAUUUAUAUU